UACGAAGGGGGCUAGCGUUGUUCGGAUUUACUGGGCGUAAAGCGCACGUAGGCGGAUCUUUAAGUCAGAGGUGAAAUCCCAAGGCUCAACCUUGGAACUGCCUUUGAUACUGGGGAUCUUGAGUCCGGGAGAGGUGAGUGGAACUGCGAGUGUAGAGGUGAAAUUCGUAGAUAUUCGCAAGAACACCAGUGGCGAAGGCGGCUCACUGGCCCGGUACUGACGCUGAGGUGCGAAAGCGUGGGAGCAAACAGGG
rnacentral:rRNA from 1 species